rnacentral:rRNA from 1 species
ACGAAGGGGGCUAGCGUUGUUCAGAAUUACUGGGCGUAAAGCGCACGUAGGCGGACUAUUAAGUCAGGGGUGAAAUCCCGGGGCUCAACCCCGGAACUGCCUUUGAUACUGGUGGUCUGGAGUCCGGAAGAGGUGAGUGGAAUUCCGAGUGUAGAGGUGAAAUUCGUAGAUAUUCGGAGGAACACCAGUGGCGAAGGCAAUCCCCUGGGCCUGCACUGACGCUCAUGCACGAAAGCGUGGGGAGCAAACAGGA